GACAGAGGGUGCAAACGUUGCUCGGAUUUACUGGGCGUAAAGCGCAUGUAGGCGGGCAAAUAAGUCGGGUGUGAAAUCCCUGGGCUCAACCUAGGAGCUGCAUCCGAAACUGUUUACCUUGAGUAGUGGAGAGGAAAGCGGAAUUCCGGGUGUAGAGGUGAAAUUCGUAGAUAUCCGGAGGAACACCAGUGGCGAAGGCGGCUUUCUGGACACUAACUGACGCUGAGAUGCGAAAGCGUGGGGAGCAAACAGG
rnacentral:rRNA from 1 species